rnacentral:rRNA from 1 species
GGGGAAUAUUGGACAAUGGGGGGAACCCUGAUCCAGCAAUGCCGCGUGUGUGAAGAAGGCCUGAGGGUUGUAAAGCACUUUCAGUGGGGAGGAGAUUGAUUAGGUUAAGAGCUGAAUUAAUGGACGUUACCCACAGAAGAAGCACCGGCUAACUCCGUGCCAGCAGCCGCGGUAAUACGGAGGGUGCAAGCGUUAAUCGGAAUUACUGGGCGUAAAGGGUGCGUAGGUUGUCUAAUAAGUUAUGUGUAAAAGCCCUGGGCUCAACCUGGGAAGGCCAGAUAAGACUGUUAGACUAGAGUAUAGGAGAGGGUAGUGGAAUUUCCGGUGUAGCGGUGAAAUGCGUAGAGAUCGGAAGGAACACCAGUGGCGAAGGCGGCUACCUGGCCGGAUACUGACACUGAAGCACGAAAGCGUGGGGAGCAAAC